rnacentral:rRNA from 1 species
CCUACGGGUGGCAGCAGUGGGGAAUAUUGCACAAUGGGGGAAACCCUGAUGCAGCAACGCCGCGUGAAGGAAGACGGUUUUCGGAUUGUAAACUUCUGUUCUUAGUGAAGAAUAAUGACGGUAGCUAAGGAGCAAGCCACGGCUAACUACGUGCCAGCAGCCGCGGUAAUACGUAGGUGGCAAGCGUUGUCCGGAUGUACUGGGGGUAAAGGGCGUGCAGCCGGGGAGACAAGUCAGAUGUGAAAUCCACGGGCUCAACCCGUGAACUGCAUUUGAAACUGUUUCCCUUGAGUGUCGGAGAGGUAAUCGGAAUUCCUUGUGUAGCGGUGAAAUGCGUAGAUAUAAGGAAGAACACCAGUGGCGAAGGCGGAUUACUGGACGAUAACUGACGGUGAGGCGCGAAAGCGUGGGGAGCAAACAGGAUUAGAUACCCUAGUAGUC